rnacentral:lncRNA from 1 species
CCUCCUCCUCCUCCUCCUCCCCGCCGGGGUGAAACUCGAGCGCCCCACCCGCGCCUGACCUCCCCGAGCCCCUCCCCGGGCCCCGCCCCUUCCCGGUACAGGACCCCCACCUUCGCUCCUGGGAGCCCCGCUGCACCCCAGGAGUUCCAUUCCAGCCUCCCCAGUGCGAGUGCGGCCGAGCGCUGACUUUUGGGGGCUCCCUCCCCCGUCUCACUGGGUCCCUCUGCGGCUCCCCCGCCCGCUGUCCCGGUUCAGACGUGGCUGCACCCCGGAGGGGGGCGCCGGCCGAGACCUGAGACGUGGCGCUCCCUCUCUGCCGGCCUCGGCUUCAGGUGCUUGAAUUUCAGCCACAUCCCUAAGCUGCCAUCUCAGACCAGAGGAACAGGGAGGGGGGCUUUCUGGAAAGAACAUCACCUGGAAGAAAUCAGGACAUGACUGUGGGCCAUGAGUGACCUUCAAAGGAAAGCCGGGUAUCUGUGGUCUUUAAGAUGUGGAUCCAUGACAUUUAAAAACUGAAGAAAUGGAAAGAUCAUCUGAUCAGGCCCAUCAGUCUUUUUCCUAAUGCUAAACAUUGGUACAAAGACGUGAAGUUUGAUGUCUCACUAAGAUUGCCUAGGGCUGCUUUAUUGCUCACCUACUUCAAAGUAUUGGGAAAACAUGAUUAUGGGUACAGGUGAUGCUGUGUUGCCCCCAGACAGGUUUCUUUUGUCAGGUUCUUUUGAUGGAUUAGGAACCUACAAGUGGGGAGAUUUUAGGGAAAUAGCCCCUCCACUUGGAUUUCACCAAAACGUCUUUAGGGUUCUCUUACCCCAAGAAACACGCAUUCCUCUUUAGUGUGGCAGCCCACUCUAUUGGCAAAGUUAAGCAGACCAGUUUUACUAAAAAGGAGCCACCCAGAAACUUAGACAGAAAAUACUUGAGGCACAGAUGAGAAUGAGCACAAAUGUGCAUAGCAAGUGCAGUUUCCUGGCCCUUAAACUGAAGGGCCAGGUCAGUCUGCUCCUCCAGGCACAGCCUGGGACCCCAUCAUGUGCCCCACUCUGCAGUCUGAGCUUCCACUCAAGUCCACCAGGGCCUGCCUCACAUAUAUAUACAAGACCCAAUGUCAGAGUCUGCCUCUGCCCAUGUCUGGUCAGAGGGUUGCACUUUGCCACUGCUACAUGUUCCCAGAGGUUGGCACAGCAUGACCUGGACCUCACCUAACCCAGGCAAACUCUGCUCAUCUUCGAGCUCUCUGGAACCCAUUUCUCAAGGGAGAACCACAUUCCCCCACCUCACAGCCAAGUUCAAGGAAGCAGCCUGGCUAAAGCAAUGACUCAAGGAUACCAGAAGCAGAGCACGCAUUUAAGAAGAUGCGCUGACUCGCAGGAGCAGCUGACUCUUCUUAAGAAGAGUUUACUGAUUCUUCUUUCAGUACGGGCCUUUUAAUAAGAUAUUGUAUUUUACUUCAGCUAUGGGUGCAGACAAUUAAAGGAUUCUAGAAAUCUGAAA